GAUGAAAGAAACGCAGCGAAAUGCGAUACUUGGUGUGAAUUGCAGAAUCCCGUGAACCAUCGAGUCUUUGAACGCAAGUUGCGCCCGAAGCCAUUAGGCCGAGGGCACGCCUGCCUGGGCGUCACACGUCGUUGCCCCCCCAUCUACUCCUUCGGGAUUGCGGGGGGCGGAUGAUGGCCUCCCGUGCGCCUCGUCGCGCGGUUGGCAUAAAUGCCAAGUCCUCGGCGACACACGCCACGACAAUCGGUGGUUGCGAAACCUCGGUUGCCCGUCGUGUGCGGUCGUCGCGCAUCGAGGGCUCGAAAAAAUUGCCGGGCUCCGGCUCGGCUUUCAACGCGACCCCAGGUCAGGCGGGGUUACCCGCUGAAUUUAAGCAUAUCAAUAAGCGGAGGA
rnacentral:misc_RNA from 1 species